rnacentral:rRNA from 1 species
UACGAAGGGGGCUAGCGUUGUUCGGAAUCACUGGGCGUAAAGCGCACGUAGGCGGAUCUUUAAGUCAGGGGUGAAAUCCCGAGGCUCAACCUCGGAACUGCCUUUGAUACUGGGGAUCUCGAGUCCGGGAGAGGUGAGUGGAAUUGCCGAGUGUAGAGGUGAAAUUCGUAGAUAUUCGCAAGAACACCAGUGGCGAAGGCGGGCCUCACUGGCCCGGUACUGACGCUGAGGUGCGAAAGCGUGGGGAGCAAACAGG